AGUGAACGCUGGCGGUAGGCCUAACACAUGCAAGUCGAACGGCAGCACAGUAAGAGCUUGCUCUUACGGGUGGCGAGUGGCGGACGGGUGAGGAAUACAUCGGAAUCUACUUUUUCGUGGGGGAUAACGUAGGGAAACUUACGCUAAUACCGCAUACGACCUACGGGUGAAAGCAGGGGAUCUUCGGACCUUGCGCGAUUGAAUGAGCCGAUGUCGGAUUAGCUAGUUGGCGGGGUAAAGGCCCACCAAGGCGACGAUCCGUAGCUGGUCUGAGAGGAUGACCACCCACAAUGGAACUGAGCCGCGGCCCAGCCUCCAGCGGGGGCCGCAGUUGGGGAAUUUUGAAAAGGGGGGGCAGGCCUGAUCCACCCAUCCCGGGUGGUUAAAAAGGGCUUUGGGUUUUAAAACCCUUUUUUUGGGGAAAAAAAAGGAGCAGGUUAAUCCCCCGGUUUUCGGGGGUUCCCCAAAAAAAAGGCCCCGGCUACUUUGGUG
rnacentral:rRNA from 1 species